AAGUGAACACAGCUCUUUUAGAAUUUUUCUAGCAGGCUUUGGUCAGAAAAAUCCACU
ensembl:snRNA LOC120102619 U7 small nuclear RNA